rnacentral:rRNA from 1 species
UACGGGGGGGGCAAGCGUUGUUCGGAAUUACUGGGCGUAAAGGGCUCGUAGGCGGCCAACUAAGUCAGACGUGAAAUCCCUAGGCUCAACCUAGGAACUGCGUCUGAUACCGGAUGGCUUGAAUCCGGGAGAGGGAUGCAGAAUUCCAGGUGUAGCGGUGAAAUGCGUAGAUAUCUGGAGGAAUACCGGUGGCGAAGGCGGCAUCCUGGACCGGCAUUGACGCUGAGGAGCGAAAGCCAGGGGAGCAAACGGG